rnacentral:rRNA from 1 species
GGGGAAUAUUGGGCAAUGGGCGAAAGCCUGACCCAGCAACGCCGCGUGAGGGAAGAAGGUUUUCGGAUCGUAAACCUCUGUCCUUAGUGAAGAGAAAGAGACGGUAGCUAAGGAGGAAGCCCCGGCUAACUACGUGCCAGCAGCCGCGGUAAUACGUAGGGGGCGAGCGUUGUCCGGAAUGAUUGGGCGUAAAGGGCGCGUAGGCGGCCUGUUAAGUCCGGAGUGAAAUUCCUGCUUUCAAGGUAGGAAGUGCUUUGGAAACUGGCGGGCUGGAGUGCAGGAGAGGUUAGCGGAAUUCCCGGUGUAGCGGUGAAAUGCGUAGAGAUCGGGAGGAACACCAGUGGCGAAGGCGGCUAACUGGACUGUAACUGACGCUGAGGCGCGAAAGUGUGGGGAGCAAAC